AUUUUUAAAAACUACGUACGAUCUAGCAGAUUGACGAUUUUAUUAUCUCCCUUUGCUAACUCUUUAGUGUUAAAGAUACGAUUAUUUGGGGAAACAUGACAACAUGUCAUACGAGUUGGCGGUUUGAAGACAGACGAUGCCGUUUUGUAAAAUUUCUUUAUGGACAAAUACUCCAUGUGAAGAAGUUUCAAAGACAAUUUAUGUGAAUGACUAUAAGAAAUCGGUAGCUAGAUAUUUAUGCUCCUUAAACAAAUCACAUUGCGGGAAAUCCAUGACGCAAGGCCCGCCUGCACCUGUGUCUAUUUUCACAAUCACACGUUGGAGCGGUUGUUUCAUAUCAUCAGAGUUCUUUGGAGUGGAUGAGGAAUACUACAUGUGUUUUCCCAGAUCACUCGGUCAGUUGUAUUGGAUAUACGAACCGGAUAUGGGCACAUAUCAUUAACAUUUGGGAUGAGCAACAUGCUUGUGGAAAAAUGCUAUGGCCAGUAUGGGUGGCGGUGCAGUAUACAAGGAAUCUAUUCACUGAAAUUCCAAGAAGAUUCCAUGACUUGCUUGCCAUACAACAAACAACAGAAUAUGGACGUGAUUCCUAGAAUUAGAACUUGAAUGGUUCAGACUUGAAUACAUGCAAAGUCAUGUAGCAAUAUUAAAGGUGUUGUACUUCAGGAAAAGGGGAAGCGUAUUUGUUGGAAGAUGGAUAAAGAAAAAUUGGAGCAUGCACUAGACUUCUUUAAAUCCUGCUUUUUUAUCAGGUAACAUCAUUGAGUACAAAAGAAAUGUACCUUCACAGCAGACAACUUAUAACCUUUCGACAAGAAAUUGGGACUGCCUGCCAUUCAACCAUUGUACAUAUAUGAAUUUACCAGUCCUGUUGUGAAGAAACUUAUUUCAUCCUCUUUCAAGGGCCGUGUUAUUUAGGAUUUUAACUACUUGUCCUGCAUCACAAGCUUAAAAAGACUUCACAAUCUGACUGCAGAUGGAACUGCAUGGUUUGAAAUCCUCAUAGGAAUUAUGAGAAGCAUAGAGGCCUAUUAACCAGAUAAUGAGAUUGUUAUGAGAUUGAUCACUGUUCGUUAUCUUCACCUUGGAUAAUGACAAGAUUUCAUAGCUUGAGGAGUACCAGGAAAAUUUACUUGCAGCAAAAUUGUACAUAAAGAGAGACUCACUCAAGCAUGAAUGUAGAAUAAUUAUAAAGAUGCAGUAGAGAGAGAGAGAGAGAGAGAGAGAGAGAGAGAGAGAGAGAGAGAGAGAGAGAGAGAGAGAGAAUGAGAAUUAUAUGGUGAUAUAAUUAAACUCAUUGUCUUCAAUGGGUAUGGCAUGUCAGUAGAGAAUCAUGAUUCAUAUGGUGAUAUUUUUCAAUUAUAUACUCGUUUCAGUGCAAUGGCAUUGUACAAAUAAAUAUUUUAAGUGUUGUUAGGGAAAGUGGUUGCUAUGGUGAUAUGUGUAAACAUAUUGUCUUCCAUGGGUCCGACAUGUCAGUAAAUAAUUACAUGUUGAUAUAUUUGUAUUAUAUUCUUAUUUGAAGGCAAUUGGAAUUGUACAGUUUGAAAUGUUUGCUUGUUGCUAGGGAAAAUUGGUUGCUAUGGUGAUAUAGUUAAACCUGAUGUCUUCAUUGGAUUCAACAUAUCAGUAGAAAAUCAUAUAUUGGUAUAUUUGCAUUAGGUUCUCAUUCCAGUGCAAUUUAAUCAUACAACUUUAAAUUUUAUGUGCGUUGAUAAGGAAAAUCAGUUGCUAUGGUGAUAUGGUUGAAGUCUGAUUUCUCCAAUUGGUCUGAAAUGUCAAUAAAUUAAAGUGAACCCAGAUGAUUUGUAUUUAGUUUCAGUUAAUAGAAUCAUUUUAAUGCAUAUAUUGCAGACAUUCUUGUUUUAUUGUGUUGGAAAUGGGCCUGAAAGAGUUGCCUAGCAACCGUUACUAUGUGCAUUUCCGACUCUUUUGAUUUUGAUUUUGAGUACACUUAGUAUUGAUUGUUUAGAAAAUAUGUAUCAAAAUUUGGCACUUUUCGGAUAACUAAAGUAAUAUGUAUUUAAAAUACCUUAAAAUUGUCGAAUUUACAGAAAAUUGAUAAAUAUUAAAACAAUGCCUAUUCCAAAGUCCUCUACAGAUACCAUAUAAUAGUAUUUCAUUAGUAUUGUACAUUUUUAUAUUGAAGUAACCUUUACCUCGCCUAAAUAAAUUAUCAUUAUGUUUGAAAAA